UUAUGGCUCAGGAUGAACGCUAGCGACAGGCUUAACACAUGCAAGUCGAGGGGCAUCACGGGAGUAGCAAUACAACUGGUGGCGACCGGCGCACGGGUGAGUAACGCGUAUGCAACCUACCUAUCAGAGGGGAAUAACCCGGCGAAAGUCGGACUAAUACCGCAUAAAACAGGGCACCGCAUGGUGAUAUUUGUUAAAGAAAUUCGCUGAUAGAUGGGCAUGCGUUCCAUUAGGUAGUUGGUGAGGUAACGGCUCACCAAGCCGACGAUGGAUAGGGGAACUGAGAGGUUGGUCCCCCACACUGGUACUGAGACACGGACCAGACUCCUACGGGAGGCAGCAGUGAGGAAUAUUGGUCAAUGGGCGGGAGCCUGAACCAGCCAAGUCGCGUGAAGGAAGAAGGAUCUAUGGUUCGUAAACUUCUUUUGCAGGGGAAUAAAGUGCAGGACGUGUCCUGUUUUGUAUGUACCCUGAGAAUAAGGAUCGGCUAACUCCGUGCCAGCCGCCGC
rnacentral:rRNA from 1 species